rnacentral:rRNA from 1 species
UGGGGAAUCUUGCGCAAUGGGCGAAAGCCUGACGCAGCCAUGCCGCGUGAAUGAUGAAGGCCCUAGGGUUGUAAAGCUCUUUCACCGGUGAAGAUAAUGACGGUAACCGGAGAAGAAGCCCCGGCUAACUUCGUGCCAGCAGCCGCGGUAAUACGAAGGGGGCUAGCGUUGUUCGGAAUUACUGGGCGUAAAGCGCACGUAGGCGGGUAUUUAAGUCAGGGGUGAAAUCCCGGAGCUCAACUCCGGAACUGCCUUUGAUACUGGGUACCUAGAGUAUGGAAGAGGUGAGUGAAAUUCCGAGUGUAGAGGUGAAGUUCGUAGAUAUUCGGAGGAACACCAGUGGCGAGGGCGGCUCACGGGUCCAUUACUGACGCUGAGGUGCGAGAGCGUGGGGAGCAAACA